AAUAAUUUUAAUUUCUACUAAUGCUUACAUUUCUCUUACACUUUUUAUUUUUUUAUGUAUUUUAGCCAACUUUAUUUAUACUUUUUUAAAUAUAUAUUUCUUAUUUUUUAUAUUUAGAAUUUCAUAAAAUUAUCUAAUUAAUAAUGAGUUGUACAACAUUUUUCUUUAUACAAAUAUUGUGAUAAAAUUUCUUAAUCAAAUAUCAUUAAUAAAUAUUAUAUUAUCUUUUAAUACUCAUAUUAUUAACUAUUUAUUUAUGCAUAUAUUAUUAUUAAUUAGUUGCUCUUAUAAAAACUUAUUUACAGUGUUGGUUGAUUUACGAUUGCUCGGGAACAUGUGGGAGUCUUAUUGUGUUUAGUUUUUUUCUAUGUGGAAGUUCUGUUGCUUUGCGCAGUUGCUAAAUUCACUACUUAAUGAAGGAAACGGUAACGUAUUAUCUUCCUCUUAAAAAAAAAAACUUAUUCACACAUAUACUAAUUUAAACUAUUUUUAAUUAAAUUAAUUUUAUUUGUUACUUUAACUAAUAAUCUGAGUAAUUAGUUAUAUAAUUUAAUAAAAAAAUUAUUUAUUAAAAUAUUUUAUAU
rnacentral:lncRNA from 1 species